rnacentral:tRNA from 1 species
UCCGGCGUGGUCUAGUGGCUAGGAUAUCUGGCUUUCACCGAGAAGGCCCGGGUUCAAUUUCCGGCGUCGGAA